CAUAGGUUAAUGAGGCGAACCGGGGGAACUGAAACAUCUAAGUACCCCGAGGAAAAGAAAUCAACCGAGAUUCCCCCAGUAGCGGCGAGCGAACGGGGAGCAGCCCAGAGCCUGAAUCAGUGUGUGUGUUAGUGGAAGCGUCUGGAAAGGCGCGCGAUACAGGGUGACAGCCCCGUACACAAAAAUGCACAUGCUGUGAGCUCGAUGAGUAGGGCGGGACACGUGGUAUCCUGUCUGAAUAUGGGGGGACCAUCCUCCAAGGCUAAAUACUCCUGACUGACCGAUAGUGAACCAGUACCGUGAGGGAAAGGCGAAAAGAACCCCGGCGAGGGGAGUGAAAAAGAACCUGAAACCGUGUACGUACAAGCAGUGGGAGCCUCUUUUAUGGGGUGACUGCGUACCUUUUGUAUAAUGGGUCAGCGACUUAUAUUCUGUAGCAAGGUUAACCGAAUAGGGGAGCCGAAGGGAAACCGAGUCUUAACUGGGCGUUAAGUUGCAGGGUAUAGACCCGAAACCCGGUGAUCUAGCCAUGGGCAGGUUGAAGGUUGGGUAACACUAACUGGAGGACCGAACCGACUAAUGUUGAAAAAUUAGCGGAUGACUUGUGGCUGGGGGUGAAAGGCCAAUCAAACCGGGAGAUAGCUGGUUCUCCCCGAAAGCUAUUUAGGUAGCGCCUCGUGAAUUCAUCUCCGGGGGUAGAGCACUGUUUCGGCAAGGGGGUCAUCCCGACUUACCAACCCGAUGCAAACUGCGAAUACCGGAGAAUGUUAUCACGGGAGACACACGGCGGGUGCUAACGUCCGUCGUGAAGAGGGAAACAACCCAGACCGCCAGCUAAGGUCCCAAAGUCAUGGUUAAGUGGGAAACGAUGUGGGAAGGCCCAGACAGCCAGGAUGUUGGCUUAGAAGCAGCCAUCAUUUAAAGAAAGCGUAAUAGCUCACUGGUCGAGUCGGCCUGCGCGGAAGAUGUAACGGGGCUAAACCAUGCACCGAAGCUGCGGCAGCGACGCUUAUGCGUUGUUGGGUAGGGGAGCGUUCUGUAAGCCUGUGAAGGUGUGCUGUGAGGCAUGCUGGAGGUAUCAGAAGUGCGAAUGCUGACAUAAGUAACGAUAAAGCGGGUGAAAAGCCCGCUCGCCGGAAGACCAAGGGUUCCUGUCCAACGUUAAUCGGGGCAGGGUGAGUCGACCCCUAAGGCGAGGCCGAAAGGCGUAGUCGAUGGGAAACAGGUUAAUAUUCCUGUACUUGGUGUUACUGCGAAGGGGGGACGGAGAAGGCUAUGUUGGCCGGGCGACGGUUGUCCCGGUUUAAGCGUGUAGGCUGGUUUUCCAGGCAAAUCCGGAAAAUCAAGGCUGAGGCGUGAUGACGAGGCACUACGGUGCUGAAGCAACAAAUGCCCUGCUUCCAGGAAAAGCCUCUAAGCAUCAGGUAACAUCAAAUCGUACCCCAAACCGACACAGGUGGUCAGGUAGAGAAUACCAAGGCGCUUGAGAGAACUCGGGUGAAGGAACUAGGCAAAAUGGUGCCGUAACUUCGGGAGAAGGCACGCUGAUAUGUAGGUGAAGUCCCUUGCGGAUGGAGCUGAAAUCAGUCGAAGAUACCAGCUGGCUGCAACUGUUUAUUAAAAACACAGCACUGUGCAAACACGAAAGUGGACGUAUACGGUGUGACGCCUGCCCGGUGCCGGAAGGUUAAUUGAUGGGGUCAGCGCAAGCGAAGCUCUUGAUCGAAGCCCCGGUAAACGGCGGCCGUAACUAUAACGGUCCUAAGGUAGCGAAAUUCCUUGUCGGGUAAGUUCCGACCUGCACGAAUGGCGUAAUGAUGGCCAGGCUGUCUCCACCCGAGACUCAGUGAAAUUGAACUCGCUGUGAAGAUGCAGUGUACCCGCGGCAAGACGGAAAGACCCCGUGAACCUUUACUAUAGCUUGACACUGAACAUUGAGCCUUGAUGUGUAGGAUAGGUGGGAGGCUUAGAAGUGUGGACGCCAGUCUGCAUGGAGCCGACCUUGAAAUACCACCCUUUAAUGUUUGAUGUUCUAACGUGGACCCGUAAUCCGGGUUGCGGACAGUGUCUGGUGGGUAGUUUGACUGGGGCGGUCUCCUCCUAAAGAGUAACGGAGGAGCACGAAGGUUGGCUAAUCCUGGUCGGACAUCAGGAGGUUAGUGCAAUGGCAUAAGCCAGCUUGACUGCGAGCGUGACGGCGCGAGCAGGUGCGAAAGCAGGUCAUAGUGAUCCGGUGGUUCUGAAUGGAAGGGCCAUCGCUCAACGGAUAAAAGGUACUCCGGGGAUAACAGGCUGAUACCGCCCAAGAGUUCAUAUCGACGGCGGUGUUUGGCACCUCGAUGUCGGCUCAUCACAUCCUGGGGCUGAAGUAGGUCCCAAGGGUAUGGCUGUUCGCCAUUUAAAGUGGUACGCGAGCUGGGUUUAGAACGUCGUGAGACAGUUCGGUCCCUAUCUGCCGUGGGCGCUGGAGAACUGAGGGGGGCUGCUCCUAGUACGAGAGGACCGGAGUGGACGCAUCACUGGUGUUCGGGUUGUCAUGCCAAUGGCACUGCCCGGUAGCUAAAUGCGGAAGAGAUAAGUGCUGAAAGCAUCUAAGCACGAAACUUGCCCCGAGAUGAGUUCUCCCUGACCCUUUAAGGGUCCUGAAGGAACGUUGAAGACGACGACGUUGAUAGGCCGGGUGUGUAAGCGCAGCGAUGCGUUGAGCUAACCGGUACUAAUGAACCGUGAGGCUUAACCUU
rnacentral:rRNA from 1 species